rnacentral:rRNA from 1 species
GCCUACGGGGCGCAGCAGUAGGGAAUCUUCCACAAUGGGCGAAAGCCUGAUGGAGCAACGCCGCGUGGGUGAAGAAGGUCUUCGGAUCGUAAAACCCUGUUGUUAGAGAAGAAAGUGCGUGAGAGUAACUGUUCACGUUUCGACGGUAUCUAACCAGAACGCCACGGCUCACUACGUGCCAGCAGCCGCGGUAAUACGUAGGUGGCAAGCGUUAUCCGGAUUUAUUGGGCGUAAAGGGAACGCAGGCGGUCUUUUAAGUCUGAUGUGAAAGCCUUCGGCUUAACCGGAGUAUUGCAUUGGAAACU